AAGAUAGAGGUUGCGUUUUUUAAGAGUAGGCUUUUUAGAUGCGGCAGGAGCAGGUGAGAAAAAGCGGAAAGGGAAAAACGCCGAAAGAGGAGAUAACCUGUCAGUCAAGUCUUGGGCAUGCAGCAAAUAACUGUAUGACUGUCAUCCGUAUAUUGGAUGGGGCGCUAUCAGG
rnacentral:ncRNA from 1 species